UGUCUCAGUUCGGAUUGGAGGCUGAAACCCGCCUCCAUGAAGUUGGAUUCGCUAGUAAUCGCGCAUCAGCCAUGGCGCGGUGAAUACGUUCCCGGGCCUUGUACACACCGCCCGUCAAGCCAUGGAAGCUGGGGGUGCCUGAAGUUCGUGACCGGAAGGAGCGACCUAGGGCAAAACCGGUGACUGGGGCUAAGUCGUAACAAGGUAGC
rnacentral:rRNA from 1 species